rnacentral:rRNA from 1 species
CCUACGGGAUGCAGCAGUGAGGAAUAUUGGUCAAUGGACGAGAGUCUGAACCAGCCAAGUAGCGUGAAGGAUGACUGCCCUAUGGGUUGUAAACUUCUUUUAUAUGGGAAUAAAAUGUUCCACGUGUGGGAUUUUGUAUGUACCAUAUGAAUAAGGAUCGGCUAACUCCGUGCCAGCAGCCGCGGUAAUACGGAGGAUCCGAGCGUUAUCCGGAUUUAUUGGGUUUAAAGGGAGCGUAGGUGGAUUGUUAAGUCAGUUGUGAAAGUUUGCGGCUCAACCGUAAAAUUGCAGUUGAAACUGGCAGUCUUGAGUACAGUAGAGGUGGGCGGAAUGCGUGGUGUAGCGGUGAAAUGCUUAGAUAUCACGAAGAACUCCGAUUGCGAAGGCAGUUCACUGGACUGCAACUGACACUGAGGCUCGAAAGUGUGGGUAUCAAACAGGAUUAGAUACCCCAGUAGUC